rnacentral:rRNA from 1 species
AGCGAACGCUGGCGGCAGGCCUAACACAUGCAAGUCGAACGGAUCCUUCGGGAUUAGUGGCGGACGGGUGAGUAACACGUGGGAACGUGCCUUUUGGUUCGGGAACAACUCAGGGAAACUUGAGCUAAUACCGAAUGUGCCCUUCGGGGAAGGAUUAUCGCCAUUAGAGCGGCCCGCGUCUGAUUAGCUUGUUGGUGAGGUAAAGGCUCACCAAGGCUACGAUCAGUAGCUGGUCUGAGAGGAUGAUCAGCCACAUUGGGACUGAGACGCGGCCCAAACUCCUACGGGAGGCAGCAGUGGGGAAUCUUGCGCAAUGGGCGAAAGCCUGACGCAGCCAUGCCGCGUGAAUGAUGAAGGUCUUAGGAUGUAAAAUCUUUCACCGGGACGA